rnacentral:rRNA from 1 species
UUUCGCAAUGCCCGAAAGGGUGACGAAGCGACGCCGCGUGUGGGAAGAAGGCCUUCGGGUUGUAAACCACUGUCGGGAGUUAGGAAAUGUAAGGGUGCUAAUAGUAUCCUUACUUGACUAAGGCUCCGGAGGAAGCCACGGCUAACUCUGUGCCAGCAGCCGCGGUAAUACAGAGGCGGCAAGCGUUGUUCGGAAUUAUUGGGCGUAAAGAGCACGUAGGCGGCCUUGUAAGUCAGUUGUGAAAGCCUUCUGCUUAACGGAAGAACAGCAGCUGAUACUGCAAGGCUAGAGUGCGGAAGGGGAGAGUGGAACUUCUGGUGGAGCGGUGAAAUGCGUAGAUAUCAGAAGGAAUACCGGCGGCGAAGGCGACUCUCUGGUCCGUAACUGACGCUGAGUGUGCGAAAGCUAGGGGAGCAAACGGGAUUAGAUACCCCGGUAGUCCUAGCCGUAAACGAUGGGCACUAAGUAGAGGGGUUUUA